UGAAAUUUAAAAGAGUUUGUCACUUGUCAUGCUGAAUUGUUGAUUGCUGUGCCUAUGCUGACUCAUCACUCCCUUCUCCCAAUUCCCAGUGCCCACUCCCCACUCCCCACUCCCCACCCGUGACCCGACACUCCACAGUCCACCCUUCAUCCCUUCCCCUUUCACUUUCCCCUUUCCCCUUUCCACUCUCCACUCUCCAUCAGAUUAAGAUUAAGAAAUCGGUUGAUUCGGUUCCGCUCUCCACUGAGUCCACUCACCAGCAGCGCUGUCUCCAGUCUCCACUCUCUCAGCUGGUUUUGCUUGCUAUCGAGAUCCGGAGCGUUCUUGGCGAGACGAAGUCGUGAAGAAUUGAUGGUAAUGAUUUUGAUGAAGGUUUUUGGAAUAAUGAGGAAGAUAAAGUCAACGAGAGUGUGUUUAGUUUACAUGACAUAUCAACAGAUUAUUUGUUUUAGGGAGCGGUGAAAUCAUGUGUCUUGAAGAGUCCUUAGCGGAAAGUAGAAAGUUGUACCCUUCCUAACUAGCAUGGAGAUGCAACUUCGUAAUCAAUUAUGUUAUAGCUCUAAUCUAUACAAUGUCGCGCAUUUGGCUAAGGGAUAAUAUUCCGCAGGGAGCAGUGAAUGGGGUGGCCUUGGUUAUCUCAAUUGAAUUAGGAGACUUCAUCACCCUUCCACGAAUAUCACCAAAGAAGAGAAGGAAGGGGGGAAGAUUGAAAAGAUACAGGCGGAGGUUCUAGAUGAUGAGGAUUCUUUGGAAGAGAUGGGAAGAAAUAUGGGUGCUUUUAGUGUUAGGUUGGCCAACUACAUGUAAAAGGAGACUGGCACCUAAAGCUUCAUGUUCUAAGCGAUAGUCUCUUCGUUAGUUAAGACUAGAAGAGGUUGGUUGGUUUUAGUUCUCGAUACCAACACUAGAAAAUGUUGGUUCCAACACCAUCAAUUAUUAGGAUAAGCGACUCCCUCUAACAUUAUCUAGACUAGAAAAGAGAGAGAUGCUAUGAUGAUUUGGUUAAGGGAUAACACUUUGAAACUUUGAGAAACUAGAGUUGAGAUGUUUGGUGUUAUAAUUUAUUUUUAGGCUAUUUUUUUAA